GAGAACAACCAGAACAACAAUAACAACAACAACGACAACAACAACAACGAAUAAACAAUCACAACAAGGACAACAACAACACCACCACCACCACCACCACCAACAACAACAACAAUAACAAAAGCAACGACAACAACAACAACAACAACAACAACAAGAACAACGAUGACGAAGACGACAACGUCAACAACAACGACAAUGACGAGAACAACGAGAACACCGACAACAGCAACAAC
rnacentral:lncRNA from 1 species